rnacentral:rRNA from 1 species
UACAGAGGUCUCAAGCGUUGUUCGGAUUCAUUGGGCGUAAAGGGUGCGUAGGCGGCGCGGUAAGUCGGGUGUGAAAUCUUGGAGCUUAACUCCGAAACUGCAUUCGAUACUGCCGUGCUUGAGGACUGGAGAGGAGACUGGAAUUUACGGUGUAGCGGUGAAAUGCGUAGAUAUCGUAAGGAAGACCAGUGGCGAAGGCGGGUCUCUGGACAGUUCCUGACGCUGAGGCACGAAGGUCAGGGGGAGCAAACAGG